UCACCUUGUCUCGCUGGCGUCUUUGUCUAGGAAUGACACGUCGAUGCCUUCAUCGGACAACAACAGAAGUGAACUGAUCAUGUCUCGUGUCAAGGAUUCGGCUGAUUCGUCUCUCGCCUUGCUCUCACUUGCAGAAUGUUUCCUGUCAGUCACCGAAUCGAGGAUAGAGUCUACCACACGUUGUGCAGCAGGACCGGCAGUUUCAACAAACUUCUGUAAACUAGUAAUUAGAAACCAUUGGUUAGUUGUUGAUAACAAACGGCAGACACGGUGACACAACCAAUGACAUUUGUUUGGAGUAUGAACUGACACAAUGGACAACAAAAGGUCAGAAUCUUCCUUCGACAUAUUGGAUCGAGAAGAAUCAUACAAAGGAGCAAACGACGUAAAAGGUCCAUAGAACAAAUAAGACACUAACAAAGACAGCAUGAAA